rnacentral:piRNA from 1 species
UUCGGGGCCCAUUGAUUGAGAAAUGAGGG